rnacentral:rRNA from 1 species
CUAAAAACCUCGCCCCAUUAAAACCAAUGAAAUAAAAUUUUAUUAACCCCAAACUAAAUCAUUCUUAAAACUUAGUAAAGGAGAUCAAAAAGUUAAUAGGAGCUAUAAAACUAGUACCGCAAGGGAAAGAUGAAAUAAAAAUGAAAUAAAAUAAAGUAAAAAAAAGCAGAGCCUUGUCCUCGUACCUUUUGCAUCAUGGUUUAACUAGUUCAACCAAGCGAAAAGAAUUAGAGUUUGACUUCCCGAAACUAGGUGAGCUACUUCAAGGCAGCUUACUGAGCCAACCCGUCUCUGUUGCAAAAGAGUGGGAAGACCUUCAAGUAGGGGUGACAGACCUACCGAACCUAGUGAUAGCUGGUUAUUCAAGAAAAGAAUGUUAGUUCCGCUAAAAAUUACUUUAAUUAUAAUAAAUUAUAUUUUAAUUUUUAAGCAAUUCAAAUAAGGUACAGCCUAUUUGAUACAGGAUACAACCUAAACUAAUGGGUAAUCUUAAUCUUUAUAUUUAUAUACACAAGUAGGCCUAAUAGCAGCCAACUUUAAAAAAGCGUCAAAGCUUAUUUAUAUUUUAAUCUAAUACCAUUAUAAACUAAAAACCCUCUACUCGUAUUGAAUACUUCUAUACACCCUAUAGAACUUUUUAUGUUAAAACUAGUAACAAGAAGAAAAACUUCUCUUUAAUGUAAACGUAGGACGGCCAGGAUAACCCACCGACGAAUUAACGCCUGUGAACCUUUAGUAAAAACACUACAAAGAAAAAUCUACUGCUCUUCACGUUAACCUUACACAAGAACAUUUCAAGAAAGAUUAAAAGAAAAGGAAGGAACUCGGCAAAUUUUAACCUCGCCUGUUUACCAAAAACAUCGCCUCUUGCUAAUUAUAAGAGGUCUAGCCUGCCCCAGUGACCUAGUUCAACGGCCGCGGUAUCCUAACCGUGCGAAGGUAGCGUAAUCACUUGUUCUUUAAAUGAGGACUAGUAUGAAUGGCAUCACGAGGGUUAGACUGUCUCCCUUUUUUAAUCAGUGAAACUAAUCUCCCCGUGAAGAAGCGGGGAUAAAUCUAUAAGACGAGAAGACCCUAUGGAGCUUUAAACAAGUAACAAUUGCCCUUUAAUUUUAUAAUUCCAGAACAUUAAAUUUUAUCUUGGCAACAUGAUUACUAGUUUUAGGUUGGGGUGACCGCGGAGUACAAAUUAACCUCCACAAUGAAAGAAACUUCAUUUCUUAGCCCAGAAUUACAACUCCAAGCACCAAAAAUUUGACAUAAAUUGAUCCAAUCAUUUGAUCAACGAACCAAGUUACCCUAGGGAUAACAGCGCAAUCCACUUCAAGAGCCCAUAUCGACAAAGUGGGUUUACGACCUCGAUGUUGGAUCAGGGUAUCCCAGUGGUGCA